AUCGGGAUAACACCUNGGGAAACAGAUGCUAAUACCGGAUAACAACAGAUGAUGCCUAUCAACUGUUUAAAAGAUGGUUCUGCUAUCACUCUUGGAUGGACCUGCGGUGCAUUAGCUAGUUGGUAGGGUAACGGCCUACCAAGGCGAUGAUGCAUAGCCGAGUUGAGAGACUGAUCGGCCACAUUGGGACUGAGACACGGCCAAAACUCCUACGGGAGGCAGCAGCA
rnacentral:rRNA from 1 species